CUAACCAAUCCCUUUCCAUUUUGACUGGCCGUUUAUGUGCAUACGGGAAGCUCAUAUGCAUAUACAGGCCCAUGCUGCUGCAAGACCGGCCCUCUUAAGACUUUCCUCAAGACUGCGUUUGUGUGCACACAGUUCCACGUACUUGCCCAUCAUCAUUUAAAAUGGCUCAUCCUUCAGGACAAAGCAUUGGAGGAAAUUACAAAAGGAUCUGGAUUGUGGGCUCAAGCCUCAUACGUCGUGCUGAACCAAGGGCUGUCCAAACCAUGGGGAGAAACCUGGGGCUCAACGCCACAGUAUCUUGGUUUGGACAGGGAGGCCUGCGCUGGAGCAGUGUACUACCAUUGCUCUACAAACAGCUGUCCACCCAGACACCACCUGACAUACUGGUGGUCCAUGCUGGAGGAAAUGAUUUGGGCAAGGUGAAGACCAUAGAAUUGGUCAAAAGAAUGAAGACAGACCUGAC